ACGCUAGCUACAGGCUUAACGCAUGCAAGUCGAGGGGAAACGGCAUUUAGUGCUUGCACUGAAUGGACGUCGACCGGCGCACGGGUGAGUAACGCGUAUCCAACCUUCCCAUUACUUUGGGAUAACCUGCCGAAAGGCAGACUAAUACCUCAUAGUCUUCGAUGACGGCAUCAGAUUUGAAGUAAAGAUUUAUCGGUAAUGGAUGGGGAUGCGUCUGAUUAGCUUGUUGGCGGGGUAACGGCCCACCAAGGCAACGAUCAGUAGGGGUUCUGAGAGGAAGGUCCCCCACAUUGGAACUGAGACACGGUCCAAACUCCUACGGGAGGCAGCAGUGAGGAAUAUUGGUCAAUGGACGUAAGUCUGAACCAGCCAAGUAGCGUGCAGGAUGACGGCCCUGUGGGUUGUAAACUGCUUUUGUAUGGGGAUAAAGUCAAUCACGUGUGAUUGUUUGCAGGUACCAUACGAAUAAGGACCGGCUAAUUCCGUGCCAGCAGCCGCGGUAAUACGGAAGGUUCGGGCGUUAUCCGGAUUUAUUGGGUUUAAAGGGAGCGUAGGCCGGAGAUUAAGUGUGUUGUGAAAUGUAGACGCUCAACGUCUGAAUUGCAGCGCAUACUGGUUUCCUUGAGUACGCACAACGUUGGCGGAAUUCGUCGUGUAGCGGUGAAAUGCUUAGAUAUGACGAAGAACUCCGAUAGCGAAGGCAGCUGACGGGAGCGCAACUGACGCUGAAGCUCGAAGGUGCGGGUAUCGAACAGGAUUAGAUACCCUGGUAGUCCGCACAGUAAACGAUGGAUGCCCGCUGUUGGUACCUAGUAUCAGCGGCUAAGCGAAAGCAUUAAGCAUCCCACCUGGGGAGUACGCCGGCAACGGUGAAACUCAAAGGAAUUGACGGGGGCCCGCACAAGCGG
rnacentral:rRNA from 1 species